rnacentral:lncRNA from 1 species
AUUCAUUCAUUCAUUCAUUCAUUCAUUCAUUCAUAUCUUUAAUUCCUCAUAAAUGAGAUUCAAUGAACAUACAAUUAAUGAAUAUAAGCAAACGUUACAACAUAAUUACACACAAAUUAUUAGUAUAAGAGCAAAGUAUAAGGUAAAUACACAAAAGAUGAUAUAUAAAUAGUCUAUAAAAGCAGUGACACAUCAUGUAUUGACACAUCUAAUAACACUGUCUAAGAGAUCGACUAUAUUCUGCUACACACUGAAUAACAUGUGCAUGACACAGCUUGAGAAAUUGAACCGAUUCAUCUAUGCUUGAAAAAAUUGUCAGUGGUUUUCGACCGAGUAACAUUUGAAACAGGAUUUCGUCGUCAUACAUGCUUAAUUCACAGUAAAGAUGCACUGGAAAAUUGUCACUUAAAAUGUCCCACCAGACUUCUCGCUGUGCAUUAGUACUUGGACAAUUGCAACAAGCGUGUACAUAAACAUCUUUAAAAUUCCUUGUACAUAUAUCACAUGUAUUACUUGUUGUAUUUGGUAUUUCAGUUAGUAUUUUAGUGAUUAAAAAGGAACGCCUCCGGGUGCGGGAAUUUCUCGCUACAUUGAAGACCUGUUGGUGACCUUCUGCUGUUGUUUUUUUCUAUGGUCGGGUUGUUGUCUCUUUGGCACAUUCCCCAUUUCCAUUCUCAAUUUUAUUAAUCUCAUUAAAAGAAUUUGAGUGUUUCCAAAAUUCCGUAAUUGUCACUGACGUAUGAAUAUUCCUGAAACGUGUGAAGCUGUCAUCAGAAAUAACACGGUUUAACCAAUUGUUUAACUGUAUACUAUCGACUGCGCUAUAAAUGAUAGACUUCCAAAUUUGUUUUGAUGGAAAUGUUCCAUCUUCAAUAUAGUCAAGAAGGUAACUCAUAAGUCCAUACUGUUUUAAAAUGUCAAUGAUAUCAGGAAUAAAUCCGUAGUGUUUCCUUUGAGAGUCUAUAAAGAAAGUAAACAAUCUGGUGAGAAAUAUUCUCUUAGAAAGAGAGGAAAUGUCUAAGGUACACAGUUUUUGUAGGAAUAUAAGUUUUCUUUUGUCAAUAUAUCCUGUUAUUGGAUGAAUACCAAGAAUACUUUCGCACAUAUCAGAUCGAGUCGACGUUUUCAAGUUGAGAAUAUGUUUCACUAUAAAAUGUUGAAACCGGUUUAAAGUAGCUUUAUCAUAAGAUUUCAUGUUAUUCCACAUCUCACACCCGUAUAAAACACUGGGUAGUAUCACAGUUUUAUAUAGUUUGAGUAAUACACACGGAUUCGUUGCAUUUGUCUUUAUACCAUUCAACGCAAAGUAUGCGUUUCUGCCUUUUCUGCAUGAACUUUCAGUUCUUUGAUUUGAUUUAAAUCGAUAGUUUAGUUCUAUACCUAAGUGUAGAUAGUUAUUUGCUAUCGGGAUACGUUCAUUACCAAUAAACCAUGGAAAAUUGACAUUGAUCUCUCUCGUAUUCACAGAAAAUUGAAUGAUACACGACUUAUUUGCAUUGAAACGAAAACGCCAUUUCUUUGAAUAUUGGUUACACACAUUAAGCAUACGUUGUAAGGAUGCUGGAGAUGUGGCAAUACAUG